rnacentral:rRNA from 1 species
AAGGGCCGCAGUAUUCUGACUGUGCAAAGGUAGCAUAAUCAUUAGGUUUUUAAUUGGGAUCUUGUAUGAAUGAUUGGACAAGAGAAAUACUGUCUUUAUGUUAAAACUUGAAUUUAACUUUUAAGUGAAAAGGCUUAAAUAUACUAAAGGGACGAUAAGACCCUAUAAAACUUUACAUUUAUGUUAAAUUUUAUGGAAUUUGAAGAUUAUAAUUAUUAAAUUUAAUUUUUGUUAUGUUGGGGAGACAGGAGCUAUAAUUAUAUAUAACUGCUUUUAAGGGAAACAAAAAUAAGUGGAGAGAUUAAAGAUCCUUUAUUGAGAUUAUAAGAUUAAGUUACUUUAGGGAUAACAGCGUUAUUUUUUUUGAGAGUUCAUAUUGAAAAAAAAGAUUGCGACCUCGAUGUUGAAUUAAAAUAUCUUUAUAAUGCAGGUGUUAUAAAAGAAGGUCUGUUCGACCUUUAAUUUUUUACGUGAUC